rnacentral:rRNA from 1 species
UGGGGAAUAUUGGACAAUGGGCGAAAGCCUGAUCCAGCCAUGCCGCGUGUGUGAAGAAGGUCUUCGGAUUGUAAAGCACUUUAAGUUGGGAGGAAGGGCAGUAAGCGAAUACCUUGCUGUUUUGACGUUACCGACAGAAUAAGCACCGGCUAACUCUGUGCCAGCAGCCGCGGUAAUACAGAGGGUGCAAGCGUUAAUCGGAAUUACUGGGCGUAAAGCGCGCGUAGGUGGUUCGUUAAGUUGAAUGUGAAAGCCCCGGGCUCAACCUGGGAACUGCAUCCAAAACUGGCGAGCUAGAGUAGGGCAGAGGGUGGUGGAAUUUCCUGUGUAGCGGUGAAAUGCGUAGAUAUAGGAAGGAACACCAGUGGCGAAUGCGACCACCUGGGCUCAUACUGACACUGAGGUGCGAAAGCGUGGGGAGCAAACAGG